UACAGAGGUCUCAAGCGUUGUUCGGGUUCAUUGGGCGUAAAGGGUGCGUAGGCGGCGCGGUAAGUCGGAUGUGAAAUCCCGGGGCUCAACCCCGGAACUGCAUUCGAUACUGCUUUGCUAGAGUACUGGAGAGGAGAUUGGAAUUUACGGUGUAGCAGUGAAAUGCGUAGAUAUCGUAAGGAAGACCAGUGGCGAAGGCGGAUCUCUGGACAGUUACUGACACUGAGGCACGAAGGCCAGGGGGAGCAAACGGG
rnacentral:rRNA from 1 species